rnacentral:rRNA from 1 species
AGGGCACCACCAGGAGUGGAGCCUGCGGCUUAAUUUGACUCAACACGGGGAAACUCACCCGGCCCGGACACUGGAAGGAUUGACAGAUUGAGAGCUCUUUCUUGAUUCAGUGGGUGGUGGUGCAUGGCCGUUCUUAGUUGGUGGAGCGAUUUGUCUGGUUAAUUCCGAUAACGAACGAGACUCUAGCCUACUAAAUAGAUCGUUGGCUUACAAACGCCAAUGAGUCUUCUUAGAGGGACAGGCGGCGAUUCAGCCGCACGAAACAGAGCAAUAACAGGUCUGUGAUGCCCUUAGAUGUCCGGGGCCGCACGCGCGCUACACUGAAGUGAUCAGCGUGCAUUCUCAGCCUACUCUGCCAAGAGUGGGAAACCCAAUGAACCUUCUUCGUGAUUGGGACAGGAGAUUGUAAUUAUUCUCCUUGAACGAGGAAUUCCCAGUAAGCGCGAGCCAUAAGCUCGCGUUGAUUACGUCCCUGCCCUUUGUACACACCGCCCGUCGCUACUACCGAUUGAAUGUUUU